rnacentral:rRNA from 1 species
UCCUGGCUCAGGAUGAACGCUAGCGGCAGGCCUAAUACAUGCAAGUCGAGGGGCAGCACAGGUAGCAAUACUGGGUGGCGACCGGCAAACGGGUGCGGAACACGUACGCAACCUUCCUUCGAGUGGGGAAUAGCCCAGAGAAAUUUGGAUUAAUACCCCGUAAGAUCGUGGACUGGCAUCAGUCAGCGAUAAAAGCUCCGGCACUUGAAGAUGGGCGUGCGCCUGAUUAGGUAGUUGGUGAGGUAACGGCUCACCAAGCCGACGAUCAGUAACUGGCGUGAGAGCGCGACCAGUCACACGGGCACUGAGACACGGGCCCGACUCCUACGGGAGGCAGCAGUAAGGAAUAUUGGUCAAUGGACGCAGGUCUGAACCAGCCAUGCCGCGUGGAGGAUGAAGGUCCUCUGGAUUGUAAACUUCUUUUAUCUGGGAAGAAAUGUGGAUUUUCUAAUCUAUUUGACGGUACCAGAUGAAUAAGCACCGGCUAACUCCGUGCCAGCAGCCGCGGUAAUACGGAGGGUGCAAGCGUUAUCCGGAUUCACUGGGUUUAAAGGGUGCGUAGGCAGAUUUGUAACUCCGUGGCGAAAUCUCAGAUCUUAACUCAAAAACUGCGAUGGAUACUAUAAGUCUUGAAUGUUGUGGAGGUUUGCAGAAUAUGUCGUGCAGCGGUGAAAGUGCUGAGGUAUGUAUAUAGAACAGCAUUCUGCGAAGGCGGGGAGGCUACACCAAUUUUGACUCUGAGGGAUAUACAUCGCGGGGUAACAGACGACAAAACAUCCUGGUGGUAGCCGCCGUCAAAACGAUGAUUCAUCUACAUAUAUACAUAUAGAGUGUGUGACAGAACGUAAUGAAUACAGCCACCCGCUAGAAAAUAGAAAGUUAAAGUUCAGCUGCAAUGUAGUGGAUGGGGGCUCAGCACAUGCGGAGGAGCUUGUAGUUUACCACAUCCAUCCCGUAGGAAACCUACCAUGGCAAGAAGCCGGAGCACCGUGGCAAUACGCUCGGCUUGUUGAACAAAAGCUCUUGGGAAGAGACUGCAGGGCAGCUCCACAUAGGAAGUAGUCGUGUUGUUCUACACAAGAGGAGUUCCCUUCAUCAUCAACUUUCCCACGGGGAGGGAGAGCUACACUCGUCCUUGAACAACACUCAAGGGAACCCAGCAUGCUGAGCGCGUCUAUA